rnacentral:rRNA from 1 species
AUACAUGCAAGUAGAACGCUGAAGAGAGGAGCUUGCUCUUCUUGGAUGAGUUGCGAACGGGUGAGUAACGCGUAGGUAACCUGCCUUGUAGCGGGGGAUAACUAUUGGAAACGAUAGCUAAUACCGCAUAACAAUGGAUGACACAUGUCAUUUAUUUGAAAGGGGCAAUUGCUCCACUACAAGAUGGACCUGCGUUGUAUUAGCUAGUAGGUGAGGUAACGGCUCACCUAGGCGACGAUACAUAGCCGACCUGAGAGGGUGAUCGGCCACACUGGGACUGAGACACGGCCCAGACUCCUACGGGAGGCAGCAGUAGGGAAUCUUCGGCAAUGGGGGCAACCCUGACCGAGCAACGCCGCGUGAGUGAAGAAGGUUUUCGGAUCGUAAAGCUCUGUUGUAAGUCAAGAACGAGUGUGAGAGUGGAAAGUUCACACUGUGACGGUAGCUUACCAGAAAGGGACGGCUAACUACGUGCCAGCAGCCGCGGUAAUACGUAGGUCCCGAGCGUUGUCCGGAUUUAUUGGGCGUAAAGCGAGCGCAGGCGGUUUGAUAAGUCUGAAGUUAAAGGCUGUGGCUCAACCAUAGUUCGCUUUGGAAACUGUCAAACUUGAGUGCAGAAGGGGAGAGUGGAAUUCCAUGUGUAGCGGUGAAAUGCGUAGAUAUAUGGAGGAACACCGGUGGCGAAAGCGGCUCUCUGGUCUGUAACUGACGCUGAGGCUCGAAAGCGUGGGGAGCGAACAGGAUUAGAUACCCUGGUAGUCCACGCCGUAAACGAUGAGUGCUAGGUGUUGGAUCCUUUCCGGGAUUCAGUGCCGCAGCUAACGCAUUAAGCACUCCGCCUGGGGAGUACGACCGCAAGGUUGAAACUCAAAGGAAUUGACGGGGGCCCGCACAAGCGGUGGAGCAUGUGGUUUAAUUCGAAGCAACGCGAAGAACCUUACCAGGUCUUGACAUCCCGAUGCUAUUUCUAGAGAUAGAAAGUUACUUCGGUACAUCGGUGACAGGUGGUGCAUGGUUGUCGUCAGCUCGUGUCGUGAGAUGUUGGGUUAAGUCCCGCAACGAGCGCAACCCCUAUUGUUAGUUGCCAUCAUUCAGUUGGGCACUCUAGCGAGACUGCCGGUAAUAAACCGGAGGAAGGUGGGGAUGACGUCAAAUCAUCAUGCCCCUUAUGACCUGGGCUACACACGUGCUACAAUGGUUGGUACAACGAGUUGCGAGUCGGUGACGGCAAGCUAAUCUCUUAAAGCCAAUCUCAGUUCGGAUUGUAGGCUGCAACUCGCCUACAUGAAGUCGGAAUCGCUAGUAAUCGCGGAUCAGCACGCCGCGGUGAAUACGUUCCCGGGCCUUGUACACACCGCCCGUCACACCACGAGAGUUUGUAACACCCGAAGUCGGUGAGGUAACCUUUUGGAGCCAGCCGC